rnacentral:lncRNA from 1 species
CCGGUGGGAUGUCUGUGAAUCUUGUGGAGGGGGUAGGCUGUAUAUACGGUUUGCGCUGGCAGUUGAAGCAAUCGGUCUAAGGUGACGGUAAUGAAGAUGCUGCUGCAUACGCUGCAGGCUGUUGUGUAUCAGUGGUAUCUGAAAUUAUAUACAUUAUAAGAGAAAACACAUAAGGUACCUGUGAGAACGUGAGGGAUGUGUGUCAAUCUUGUGGAGGCCUAUUUCUUAGCAAAC